rnacentral:rRNA from 1 species
UUUUAAUGGAGAGUUUGAUCCUGGCUCAGGACGAACGCUGGCGGCGUGCCUAAUACAUGCAAGUCGUGCGGGUGAAGCCGACCACCCCUUCGGGGGCGGAUGGCGGAACCAGCGGCGGACGGGUGAGUAACACGUGGGCAACCUGCCUGCAAGACCGGGAUAACUGCGGGAAACCGGAGCUAAUACCGGAUAAGAGGCUUUUCCGCAUGGGGGAGCCUUAAAAGGCGGCGGAAGUCGUCGCUUGCAGAUGGGCUCGCGGCGCAUUAGCUAGUUGGUGAGGUAAGGGCUCACCAAGGCGACGAUGCGUAGCCGACCUGAGAGGGUGACCGGCCACACUGGGACUGAGACACGGCCCAGACUCCUACGGGAGGCAGCAGUAGGGAAUUUUCGGCAAUGGGGGAACCCUGACCGAGCAACGCCGCGUGAGCGAGGACGGCCUUCGGGUUGUAAAGCUCUGUCAUGUGGGAAGAACGGCUAGGAGAGGGCAUGCUCUUAGCGUGACGGUACCACAGGAGGAAGCCCCGGCUAACUACGUGCCAGCAGCCGCGGUAACACGUAGGGGGCGAGCGUUGUCCGGAAUUAUUGGGCGUAAAGGGCGCGCAGGCGGUCUCUUAAGUCUGAUGUGAAAGGCCACGGCUCAACCGUGGGAUGGCAUUGGAAACUGGGGGACUUGAGUGCAGGAGAGGGGAGCGGAAUUCCCGGUGUAGCGGUGAAAUGCGUAGAGAUCGGGAGGAACACCAGUGGCGAAGGCGGCUCUCUGGCCUGUAACUGACGCUGAGGCGCGAAAGCGUGGGGAGCGAACAGGAUUAGAUACCCUGGUAGUCCACGCCGUAAACGAUGAGUGCUAGGUGUUAGGGGCGUCACGCCCUUAGUGCCGAAGUAAACACAUUAAGCACUCCGCCUGGGGAGUACGGCCGCAAGGCUGAAACUCAAAGGAAUUGACGGGGGCCCGCACAAGCGGUGGAGCAUGUGGUUUAAUUCGAAGCAACGCGAAGAACCUUACCAGGGCUUGACAUCCUCUGACCCCUCUAGAGAUAGAGGUUUCCCUUCGGGGACAGAGAGACAGGUGGUGCAUGGUUGUCGUCAGCUCGUGUCGUGAGAUGUUGGGUUAAGUCCCGCAACGAGCGCAACCCUUGAGCUUAGUUGCCAGCAUUGAGUUGGGCACUCUAAGCUGACUGCCAGUGACAAGCUGGAGGAAGGUGGGGAUGACGUCAAAUCAUCAUGCCCCUUAUGUCCUGGGCGACACACGUGCUACAAUGGCUGGUACAGAGGGCAGCGAAGCGGUGACGCGGAGCCAAUCCCUAAAAAGCCAGUCUCAGUUCGGAUCGCAGGCUGCAACUCGCCUGCGUGAAGGAGGAAUCGCUAGUAAUCGCGGAUCAGCAUGCCGCGGUGAAUACGUUCCCGGGCCUUGUACACACCGCCCGUCACACCACGAGAGUCUGUAACACCCGAAGUCGGUGAGGCAACCGUAAGGAGCCAGCCGCCGAAGGUGGGACAGAUGAUUGGGGUGAAGUCGUAACAAGGUAGCCGUAUCGGAAGGUGCGGCUGGAUCACCUCCUUUCUA